UGCAAGUCGAGCGAACGGACGAGAAGCUUGCUUCUCUGAUGUUAGCGGCGGACGGGCGUGUAACACGUGGAUAACCUACCUAUAAGACUGGGAUAACUUCGGGAAACCGGAGCUAAUACCGGAUAAUAUUUUGAACCGCAUGGUUCAAAAGUGAAAGACGGUCUUGCUGUCACUUAUAGAUGGAUCCGCGCUGCAUUAGCUAGUUGGUAAGGUAACGGCUUACCAAGGCAACGAUGCAUAGCCGACCUGAGAGGGUGAUCGGCCACACUGGAACUGAGACACGGUCCAGACUCCUACGGGAGGCAGCAGUAGGGAAUCUUCCGCAAUGGGCGAAAGCCUGACGGAGCAACGCCGCGUGAGUGAUGAAGGUCUUCGGAUCGUAAAACUCUGUUAUUAGGGAAGAACAUAUGUGUAAGUAACUGUGCACAUCUUGACGGUACCUAAUCAGAAAGCCACGGCUAACUACGUGCCAGCAGCCGCGGUAAUACGUAGGUGGCAAGCGUUAUCCGGAAUUAUUGGGCGUAAAGCGCGCGUAGGCGGUUUUUUAAGUCUGAUGUGAAAGCCCACGGCUCAACCGUGGAGGGUCAUUGGAAACUGGAAAACUUGAGUGCAGAAGAGGAAAGUGGAAUUCCAUGUGUAGCGGUGAAAUGCGCAGAGAUAUGGAGGAACACCAGUGGCGAAGGCGACUUUCUGGUCUGUAACUGACGCUGAUGUGCGAAAGCGUGGGGAUCAAACAGGAUUAGAUACCCUGGUAGUCCACGCCGUAAACGAUGAGUGCUAAGUGUUAGGGGGUUUCCGCCCCUUAGUGCUGCAGCUAACGCAUUAAGCACUCCGCCUGGGGAGUACGACCGCAAGGUUGAAACUCAAGGAAUUGACGGGGACCCGCACAAGCGGUGGAGCAUGUGGUUUAAUUCGAAGCAACGCGAGACCUUACCAAAUCUGACAUCCUUUGACAACUCUAGAGAUAGAGCCUUCCCCUUCGGGGGACAAAGUGACAGGUGGUGCAUGGUGUCGUCAGCCUCGUGUCGGGAGAAUGUGGGUAAGUCCCGCACGAGGCGCCACCCUUA
rnacentral:rRNA from 1 species